ACGCUGGCGGCAGGCUUAACACAUGCAAGUCGAACGGUAACAGGAGAAAGCUUGCUUUCUUGCUGACGAGUGGCGGACGGGUGAGUAAUGCUUGGGAAUCUGGCUUAUGGAGGGGGAUAACGACGGGAAACUGUCGCUAAUACCGCGUAGAGUCGAGAGACGAAAGUGCGGGACCGCAAGGCCGCAUGCCAUAGGAUGAGCCCAAGUGGGAUUAGGUAGUUGGUGGGGUAAUAGCCUACCAAGCCGACGAUCUCUAGCUGGUCUGAGAGGAUGACCAGCCACGCCGGGACUGAGACACGGCCCGGACUUCUACGGGAGGCAGCAGUGGGGAAUAUUGCGCAAUGGGGGCAACCCUGACGCAGCCAUGCCGCGUGAAUGAAGAAGGCCUUCGGGUUGUAAAGUUCUUUCGGUAUUGAGGAAGGUUGUUGUGUUAAUAGCACGACAAAUUGACGUUAAAUACAGAAGAAGCACCGGCUAACUCCGUGCCAGCAGCCGCGGUAAUACGGAGGGUGCGAGCGUUAAUCGGAAUAACUGGGCGUAAAGGGCACGCAGGCGGACUUUUAAGUGAGGUGUGAAAUCCCCGGGCUUAACCUGGGAAUUGCAUUUCAGACUGGGAGUCUAGAGUACUUUAGGGAGGGGUAGAAUUCCACGUGUAGCGGUGAAAUGCGUAGAGAUGUGGAGGAAUACCGAAGGCGAGGCAGCCCCUUGGGAAUGUACUGACGCUCAUGUGCGAAAGCGUGGGGAGCAAACAGGAUUAGAUACCCUGGUAGUCCACGCUGUAAACGCUGUCGAUUUGGGGAUUGGGCUUUAAGCUUGGUGCCCGAAGCUAACGUGAUAAAUCGACCGCCUGGGGAGUACGGCCGCAAGGUUAAAACUCAAAUGAAUUGACGGGGGCCCGCACAAGCGGUGGAGCAUGUGG
rnacentral:rRNA from 1 species